rnacentral:rRNA from 1 species
CCAGUGGCGGACGGGUGAGUAACGCGUAAGAACCUGCCCUUGGGAGGGGACAACAGCUGGAAACGGCUGCUAAUACCCCGUAAGCUGAGGAGCGAAAGGAGGAAUCCGCCCAAGGAGGGGCUUGCGUCUGAUUAGCUAGUUGGUGAGGUAAUAGCUUACCAAGGCGGUGAUCAGUAGCUGGUCCGAGAGGAUGAUCAGCCACACUGGGACUGAGACAAGGCCCAGACUCCUACGGGAGGCAGCAGCC